rnacentral:rRNA from 1 species
UACGUAGGAUGCGAGCGUUGUCCGGAAUUAUUGGGCGUAAAGAGAACGUAGGCGGUUUGUUAAGUUUGGGCUUAAAGACUGGGGCUCGACCCCAGGAGUGGCUUGAAAACUGACAGACUAGAGGAUGGCAGAGGAAAGUGGAAUUCCCAGUGUAGCGGUGAAAUGCGUAGAUAUUGGGAGGAACACCAGUGGCGAAAGCGACUUUCUGGGCCAUUCCUGACGCUGAGGUUCGAAAGCUCGGGGAGCAAACAGGG